CAAAAAACCAGCGUCGCGAAGGCGCUGGCUCGGACGACAACAACCGUCAUGCCGUACAGGUCACGGCUAACGGCGACGCGAAGCGUCUGGAAGACCGGAGACUGGUUGUCAGCCAGGGGUCCGGCAAACAAUGUGAGCGGAUUCUAGGGAGGGUUUUAUAGAUCGUCAACACUAUAAAAUCGAGAAAACAUAACAAAAAGUAA
rnacentral:sRNA from 17 species